rnacentral:rRNA from 1 species
UACGUAGGGUGCGAGCGUUGUCCGGAAUUAUUGGGCGUAAAGAGCUUGUAGGCGGUUUGUCGCGUCUGCCGUGAAAAUCCGGGGCUCAACCCCGGACUUGCGGUGGGUACGGGCAGACUAGAGUGUGGUAGGGGAGACUGGAAUUCCUGGUGUAGCGGUGAAAUGCGCAGAUAUCAGGAGGAACACCGGUGGCGAAGGCGGGUCUCUGGGCAUUACCUGACGCUGAGGAGCGAAAGUGUGGGGAGCGAACAGG